AUGAUAACGCACUUUCGGGAGCAAGCUGCCUGCCAGGGCCGUCUCCGGGUCUGGUACACACUGGACACACAUUUGUUGCUUGAUGUUACAGAAAUGGUAGUAGCAGCGGCAGUUAUAAAGACUUAGCAUUUAUGCUGUGCUUCCUCCUCUGCUGGGUGCUGUGCCCAGUGAUUUAGAUUCUCUUUCUUGCUUUCCCCAGUCACCCUAUGAAAUAUGGAUUCCAGGCUCCGCUUUGCAGGUGGAAACAACUGAAGCCUCGAGCGUGCGGGAAUAACUGUUCCAAGGUCACACCUAGCCACAAGAGUAAAAACAAGACACAAGGUUCUGGCUCUGCUACAUCUAUCUCCAGCACGCAGUCACCUGUAUUUUGAGUUGGGAAGUGGUUUUAGGGAUCGAACCUAGGGAGCAGUGAGCAAUAUCCCGAGUCUCACCACGUCGCCCAGACUGGGCUCAAACUUGCUAUCUUCCUGCUUCAGCCUCCUGAGUAGCCGGCAUUACAGCCCUGCCCCACCAUGCUUAGCCUGCCGUGGGGUUCUUGGUCUGCAUUUCGCUCGGCGGUUGGGCCCAGCCGGUGGAAGAAGGUGCCGCCCUGCGGACCUGUCCCUUCCGCAGCCCGACUGUAAAGGCCGUAAAGUACCCAGAACAGCGUAAGUGAGCUUGGUGGUCGGGAGGAGAGGCCAGGUGGACAGGCGCCACCUCCGUAACCCGCACAACCUCACGCAAAGCGCACCAUCUCCGGUGUCUGCCUGGCCCUGCGUUCCCGCAGCCUCCGGCCUGUCCCACAGAACCAGUCUGCCAGGCUUCCACAGAGGCAUCCUCAGCCCGCUCCACCCGAGGCCGCGGGUCUUGCGCUGAGUGGAUGGGUGGCCCGGGCCAGACCAGACACAGCGCCUGCGUCCCCGGCCUGGGAAACCGCCUUUCCCCCAGGUCCUAUCUGGACCACUUUCGCCCGCCCCAAAUAUCCAGCAACGCGUAGGAGGCUUGAGAAUGAAAACAGCUUCUGGAGACAAGGAACCCGUUCAGAAGGAGCUUACAAAUAAAAUAAAAUACCACGCCUGCGCCCGGGUGACUGACUGAUGUGUCUGAAUUUUCCCGGAGAAGCAGCACUAACUGCAGGAUCUCAGGCGAGAAGAGGUUUUAAAGCUCUUCCUCGUGACUCCUCUCUGACCUGCCAGGAAGGAGCCAGCACCAGGGACGAAACCCAGUCUGGCAGCCGGCGGCCGAGUCAGACUCCAGCUCUGAGGCCACAGCUAUGUGACUGUCUGGAACCUGCCAGAAGCGUCACCACCCCCUCUUGCUACAUCAGGACACAUCAGACAGGAAAAUUCAUCUUAGCUGUCAGUCUGUGCAACAUUCCAGAGCUC